rnacentral:snRNA from 1 species
GGAUAUAAGGGCGAUCUGGCUGCGACAUCUGUCACCCCAUUGAUCGCCAGGGUUGACUGGCUGAUCUGGCUGGCUAGGCGGGUGUGCCCUUCCUCCUUCAAUGCUCCAUGUGCAUCCCUCCCGAAGCUGUGUGCUUGGUUGAAGAGGACAACGUUCCCCGAAUAGAGGAGGGCCGAUCUUCGGUCAAGGAUAUACGAGUAGUUGUGCUCCCCUGCUAGAACCUCCAAACAAGCACUCAAGUUUGAGGACCAUUUUUAAAAUUUAUUAUUUUAUGUGUAUGAGUGUUUUGCCUGUAUGUAUGUAAUUGCACACAUGC